rnacentral:rRNA from 1 species
UACGUAGGGUGCAAGCGUUGUCCGGAAUUAUUGGGCGUAAAGAGCUCGUAGGCGGCUUGUCGCGUCGGCUGUGAAAACCCGGGGCUCAACCCCGGGCCUGCAGUCGAUACGGGCAGGCUAGAGUCCGGCAGGGGAGACUGGAAUUCCUGGUGUAGCGGUGAAAUGCGCAGAUAUCAGGAGGGACACCGGUGGCGAAGGCGGGUCUCUGGGCCGGAACUGACGCUGAGGAGCGAAAGCGUGGGGAGCGAACAGG